rnacentral:lncRNA from 1 species
GGGGAGUGAUGCGGAGGCCCGUGCUGAGCUCUGAGGAGGAAGGGGAUGGUGGUAUGUGCCAAGUCACGUGGGCACAGGGCAGCCCAGUCCCAGGGUCCCCUCCCAUCACCCCACACUGCUGAACCCAGAGGCUUAGCCAAGGAGCCCACAGGAGCCACUCCCUGAUUUAUUUUCUUUCUCCCUUCCUUUCCUCCCUUCCUUCCUUCCUUCCUUCCUUCCUUCCUUCCUUCCUUCCUUCCUCCCUCCCUCCCUCCCUCCCUUCCUUCCUUCCUUCCUUCCCUCCUUCUUUCCUUCCUUCCUCCCUUCCUUCUUUCCGCUCCUUGUCCCCUUUGUCUGCGGUUGUGGGGACCCCUUGCAGUGCCGGUGGGGGAAAUUCGAGGGCAGGAGCCAGGAGACUUUUCAUAGCCAGAAGCUUGGCCACACUCAGAAAACAGUCCUGUGUGCUGGGAGGGGUAAGGCGGCUGAGGCUGGAGACAGGAGGGGGCUCCGUCUUCUGCACCAUCUCCCCUGCUCCCCCUACUGUCCACCCGUCUCCUGACCCCACCCACAUGCUUCCUCCAGGCUCUAGCUCCCCUCCUGCGGGCCGGUGGAGCACAGACACGCGGGCGCACAGAGGUGACCAGGGCGUCAAACAGCAGGCCAGCUUAGGGUCUGGAGAUCCAAGGUGUCUGAUGUAUGAGAAUGUGUGUGUGCACAUACUUGGGGCACAUGUAUGUGUGAGAGUGUGGGUGUACAUGUGUGAACACACGGAGUGUGUAGGAGUCAGUAUGUGGGUGUGUGCGAGUGUGGGAUUGCACAACUGUGCAUUUGAGUGGAAGUGUGGGUAUGUGAGUGUGUGUGUGUCUGCCUGUGUGAGGCUGUGUGGCACAACCACAGAGGGUGCACGAACUCGUUGUGCACCUGUGUGUGCACCUGUGUGAGUUUAUGUCUCUGGAACCGUGUGAGAGUUGUGUGUGUGUGUGAAAGUACACACGGUGUGUGCCAGUGUGCAUGUGUGCACAGGGGAGGUGCGUGACGACACAUCAGUGUGUUGUGUGCAUGUCGGGGGCACGCGUGCGUGGUGGUGACACGCUGAGCCC